UUGGAGGGCAAGUCUGGUGCCAGCAGCCGCGGUAAUCCCAGCUCCAAUAGCGUAUAUUAAAGUUGUUGCAGUUAAAAAGCUCGUAGUUGAAUUUCGGGAUCAAAUUGUCGGUCGUGCCUCGGUACGCACUGGUAUUAUUGGUUCCUACCUUCUGAAGAACCGCGAUGUCAUUAAUUUGGUGUCGUGGGGAAUCAGGACUGUUGCUUUGAAAAAAUUAGAGUGUUUAAAGCAGGCUUACGCUUGAAUACAUUAGCAUGGAAUAAUGAAAUAGGACGUUUGAUUCUAUUUUGUUGGUUUCUAGGAUUGACGUAAUGAUUAAUAGGGAUAGUUGGGGGCAUUAGUAUUCAAUAGUCAGAGGUGAAAUUCUUGGAUUUAUUGAAGACUAACUACUGCGAAAGCAUUUGCCAAGGAUGUUUUCAUUAAUCAAGAACGAAAGUUAGGGGAUCGAAGACGAUCAGAUACCGUCGUAGUCCUAACCAUAAACUAUGCCGACUAGGGAUCGGAUGAUGUUAAUUUUUUAAUGACUCAUUCGGCGCCUUACGGGAAACCAAAGUGUUUGGGUUC
rnacentral:rRNA from 1 species